rnacentral:misc_RNA from 1 species
GUUGUCGCCAAAUAUCUCCAAGACCAGAAUCAAUGGUUCCACUCUCACUUUGCAACCCCAUCGACACCUCUUCUUCUUUGCUAAAACCCCCACUUCUCCAUUUCUCUCAAUCUAUCGCUAACACCAUUAAUCUCAAAAUCAGAUUCACUUUCACUUCUAAACCCUUGAUCGUUAGCCCCUUGCACUCUACCCAAUGUCUAAUCGCCGCCCGUGCGGCGGACCAUGCUGUUUCUUCUGCUGCUACCUCUGAGAUCGACAUGGUCAGGAACAGACAAGGAGUCUACACUUCUAAACAGAAUAAGGUCGUCGUUUUAUGGGACCUCGAUAACAAGCCGCCACGUGGCGCACCGUAUCCGGCUGCAAUGGCUCUUAAGCAGCUCGCUCAGAGGUUCGGGGACAUUAUAGAGAUGUCAGCUUAUGCCAAUCGUCAUGCUUUUGUCCAUCUCCCCCAUUGGGUCGUGCAGGAACGCCGCGAGAGGAAACAGUUGGACAUUCUUGAAAGGAAAGGGCUUGUCGCUCCUUCCGAGCCCUACAUCUGUGGAGUCUGCGGCCGAAAGUGUAAGAAUAAUAUGGAUCUCAAAAAGCAUUUUAGGCAGCUGCAUGAGCGGGAGAGGCAAAAGAAAUUGAGCAGAAUGAAGUCGCUCAAGGGGAAGAAGCGGCAGCGUUUCAAGGAGAGAUUCAUUUCUGGAAAUUAUAAGUAUAAUGAGGAGGCUAGGAGAUUGUUAACCCCAAAAGUUGGCUAUGGGUUGGCGGCGGAGCUGAGGAAAGCAGGGGUUUAUGUGAAGACGGUGGAGGAUAAGCCACAAGCGGCGGAUUGGGCAUUGAAGAGGCAGAUUGAGCAUUCAAUGAGUAGAGGGGUUGAUUGGUUGUUUCUGAUAUCUGAUGAUUCAGACUUCUGCGACAUUUUGAGGAGGGCAAGGGAGGCGAAUUUAGGGACGGUGGUGGUGGGGGAUAGGGAUAGGGCUUUAGGGAGGCAUGCGGAUUUUUGGGUGCCGUGGCUUGGGGUUGAGAAUGGAGAGGUUACAGAAAACGAUUUGGUGCCCAAGAGUAGGAAUAUAAGUGAGGAUAGAGAAGAGAAUGAUGGCUUCUUUUCUGUUACACAUUUUGAAGGCAAUGUGGCUGGUGUCGAGGGUGAUGUGGAUAACGUCCUUAAUGAGCUUGCAGGAGCAAGGUCUGAUUGGAGUGGUGUCAGGAUUUCUGUUUUCUCGGAAGGGGAAGAAGAAGAGGACCAGGAUUACUUCUUGUGGGACAGUGAGGAUGAGGACAUUGAAGGGGAAGAUGGGGAUUUUUUGUAAAUAUUUUUAGGUAGAGGCUGGCAUGAAAUUUGUUUCGUGAAUCUGGAUAUUUUGUUCAGGAAAAAAAGAAUCACAUUUUGAGAAUGAUGAGAGCAGAUUGAGUUUGUAAAGUGGUAGUAGUAGUAGUAGCUGUUUAAGUAAUUCAUGGAAAAACAGAAUAAAAGCAUGCGCAUGGCUGUCUGCAUUAUUGUCCGAAUCUGUAUAUGGAGGCUGAUGCCAAUGACAUCCAAUUUUGCAAAUUGGUACUUGUCUUCCCCCAAAUUCCCUGUGCACGCCCGCAUGCAUGUGAACAUUGUCGUUUUAUGUUUACCUUUUAUUUCUGAUAUAGAUUUGACAAGUUGUAUUGGAAUUAAUUUUUGACUGUAUUUCGACUGCUCAUGGUUAUUGUUUAACUUGCUGAGCAACAUGUUAUUCUCAGUAACUAUUCUGAUAGCUUCCCUCUUAACAUAUUCAUAAUUUAUUUCUUCUGAUAGCUUCUCUCUUAACAUAUUCAUAAUU